UCAUCUGCUGUCAGCUAUAUGGUUCCUUCAAAAAUUAUAUAAGAAAUAUACUUUGUUUUCUCUUCUUAGUUUAAGCUGUCAGACUUCAUUCUAUAUCACAGUUUUAUUCAAAGAGAAGUCACAAACAUUCAUAUGUUUACUACCCAAGUUUCACUUCCUUCCCAAACCCGAACCAAUACCGCUCUGAAUGCCCAUUCAAUCGACAUCAUCUAGCUCAACAAAGAUUUUACGAAACAAGACUACAAGCAAAAAAUCAACGACAGUCUCGCAUCAAACUAUUAUCCCGAUCAAAUAUAUCAAGGUAUGUAUAUAAUUCAGCCAAAGAAAAGGUUAACUCCCCUUUCUCAGUCUAUAAAGCUUUGCUACCUCUCUUGCUCUAUUGCUACUUUUUUGAAGGAUCUAUGUCUCUCUGAGACGUUCAUAAAAUUUUCUGAUUAUUCUCACGUAUACUUUUCUAUAUUUUUGAUUGUUUUUUUUUUUUUCAUUAAGCUAGAAAGCUGAUAGUUUGGACGAUUAUAAUCAAGAAGUAACAAAAUUCUAUAAUUUUUAUUCCUUGUUUCCGCAAUUAUUUCCAAAUUUUGUGUAUGUUUUGUUUCAUUUCUUUACAGUGUAUAAGUUUUAUUGUAUGAAAUCAAAUUAUUACAUACGCUAGGGUAGAAAUGAAAAAGGAGAAGAUUAUGUGUUACGAAAAAAAAAAUUAUACAUCUUAAGAGAUAAGAACGAGAAAUCGAUGGCAAUAAUACAUAUAAUAUAAUAUAGAAUGGUUAAAAGAAUAAAUUUAAUUGAGACCGAAAAUUAUCACAUUAAUAUUUUAUAAUGAAACGUUACUGACAAAGUAGUAUAGCUUUGGGUAUUCCAAAGUAAAAGUCUAUCUUUCGUUUAAUUUCUUUAUUAUCUCUUGCAACGGUUCUAAUAUAAUAUGGUUGAACUAAUUAUUAUACAACAAUCAGAUACUCUCUCCAAGGUAGUGAGAUUCAAUUUUGUAUUUAAAUUCCUCUUUAUCCAUAAAUAUAUAUAUAAAAGAAAACUUUAAAUUAGUGAAUAAAAUUUACUAAUUAUAAUUUCAACAGAAAUAUUAAAUUUUAUAAGAUUCAUCUUUAUUUGAAAAAACUCUCUCUUGAGAGAAAAUAAAAUAGUUUAUUGUAUUUAUUUCGGGUCUUACACCUCCCCCUUUAGGUUUGCUUUCGUUUUUCCUUUUCUUGUAAUGAAUCUCUUUUUUAUGUGACAUUCCAUUUUCAUUUUCCAUUCUUUCUAUAUUCUCCAUUUUCGUUUCUCUCAUUAGUUGUUGUUUCAUUUUAUUGUUUUGGGUUCCAAUUCCAAUUUCGCAUUUCAAUCCAUUUACGUUUUUGUAUUCCAGUUCUACACUUUAAGUUUCUUUUCCCUUAAUUUGGUUUUCCCUAAUUUCGUUUGCAAGUUCUAUUAUGUUUUUGUUUUGUUCAUUUUCGUAGCAGAUUUAAUGUUGAAUUGCUUUUCGUUUUAUUGUUGUGAUUUCAUGUUAAUGUUAGGUUAGGUGUGCUUGGUUGGAAAUUAGCAAAAUUACAUCAUUCUUUGAGAUUUCUGGAUUGUAAUUGUGUUUCUAUUGCUCUCGCUUGACAUGCUACUAAAUCUGGUUGUGUUGUUAGAAUGGGUAUAUGCUUAGUUACCCUAUUAGUGAUUAAUCAAUCUAUAUGGAAUACAUUAGAUGGAAUUGGUGUGUUGCGUUCGCUUAGUUCAUAAUUAUGAAAACAUGGUUAAUCUUCGCUUAGUUGGUUAGCUUGUGUUGGAUUAGGGGUUAGAGUAGUGUGUUGUUGGUUAAUCUGUGAUUGGAAGCAUGUAAUUGAGCUAGUGAUCAACCGUUUUAAAUCUGUGUUUGAUUCUGUGGUUUAGUAGUUUAUUUCAGUUCAUAAGUCUCCUCACAAACCCCUCAUUCCCUCCACCAAGUGCUUGACCUAACUCCUGAACUACAUUCGGUCCUUGAGAGACGACCUAGGAGUCACUUCCUAGUAUUAUACUACACUUAAUUAAGCCAUAAAUUUGAUUCGAGUACGACCUCGAUCAAAUUUUGUCGCCGUUGUUUUUUAUUUUUCUUUGUAGUUUUUGUUUUCUUUGUAAGUUUUUUAUUUUCUAGGUCAUUUUUGUUGUGUCUUGUGUAUAGCUUUGCAUAUUUCUCUUGCUUUUUGGAGUUUUUUUAGGUUGUAGACUCAUCCUUCACUUCACUUGAUUGAUACUGAUUAGUUUGAAAUCCUUGUAUUUCUCUAACUACAAGAUGAUUAUGACGUUUGAGAGGCUGAUUUAAUUGUGACAAAAAUACCCUGUGUGAGAAUGAGUCACUUCAUGUUCUUUCUUGUGUGUUUUAUAUCUCUUGAUUGCUUGCACGGAUGCCUUGGCUUGACUCUUUUUGAUGAUUCUUGAUUCAUAUGCAUGUUUGGAAGUGAUAAAGGAAAUUUUGUUCUUGAGUCUCUCUAGCCAAAUAAGCUUAUCUUGUUUUGAUCAUUUGAUAACCUUUGUUGAGCCUAUGCUUUCUCCUAUUCUUUGUUUUCAAGCUCAUUAAUUAUCCUUAAGUGAAAAACCAUGGUUACCUUUGUUAGAAAACAAUCGGUACCGGUUUUGCACAAGGGAAAUAAAACUCAGAGUUCGGUCAAUUUUAAAAAUGGUUCCUUUAAUUUUCUUACAAACGUUUUAUCAAACAGUUGAUGUGCAGAAAAUGUAAAGAGUGUAGGAAGUAGAAAAAUUCACACAAAGGACAUUUAUAUUGGUUCGAAUCAAAAGAUUCUAUAUCCACUUGUUAGUUACUAUAAAGAGUGAUUAACAGUUUCACUAAAAUCAGUUUUACAAAUUACAGAAUAGUGAAUGUAAAUAGAAAGAUAAAACCUUCCUUCGACGAACAAACCAAAAGGGAACUUGCUUCGACAAGCGAACCAGAAGCAGACAGUGAGCACUUUCCUUCAACAGACAAACCGGAAGAGUGCAGCAUGAACCAUCCUUCAACAAACGAAUCGGAAGCAACAACUUUGCCAACUUGAAGAGAAUCACUCCGACCUUUGACACACAAAGCGCGAGCUUCUCCUAUUCACAAAACUUGACAAAAGCAAGAACUAGCACUUGAGAACUUCCUCAGUUUUCACUGUAUUCUCAAAUUUGCAAAGUUUUUUUUUUCUAAAGUGUUUGGCAAAGGUAUAUAUAGCCUACUGGUCUGAAACUGAAGAGACACAUUACAACUGCCAAUGAUAAUCGAUUAUUGUAAGUGAUAAUCGAUUAUCUGCGAGACUUGGAAUAGUUUGAAUAUUAACAUUUCAAACCAGUUGGCUUUAGUUCUUAAUAUCCUUCUACUGUUUGGUUUGAACACUGAUUGCCUUCUACCGUUCGGCUCGUCUCCUUACAGCAUUUCAGCGUUCGGUGCUAAUUGCUUGGUCUCGGUCAUGCUCUCCACCGCUCUGCUCAAUACUUGUAAACUUUCCAACUCUUAACAUUUUCUUCUGCAGUGUUAGUUGGACACAAUAUUAUUCGGUUUGUGUUUGACAUCAUUCGAUCUUCAAUUGUUAUGCAUCAUUCAGCCUUUUGGUAGUGUUCAGCCUUCAACUGUGUUCAACAUCGUUUGGUCCUUAACUUGAGUUUGGCCAAUGUUCAACUUUGUUUGGUCUUGUGAGUGUCCGUUCAGUCUUGAACUGUGUUCAUGUUGUGUUCAACCUUGAACUGAUAUACACUAUCCAAUCUUCAACUAUUACAUAUUGUUCAAUCUUUCACUAAUAGUGAUCGUUCGGUCUUUAAGUUGUGUUCGGCCAUCAUAUUGUGUUCGGCCAUGAACAGUGUUCGGUCUUCAUCUGCGUUCGGUCGUUGAUUGAUAGUGACCGUUCAACCUUUUAGUUAUGUUCGACCAUUAAUAGUGUUCGGCUUUCAACUGUUGUAUGUCAUUCAGUCUUGUGUUCUACCUUAAAAUUAUAAUGACAGUUCGUUCAUGAACUGCGUUUAGCCUGAUCCUUCUUUUGACCAUUCGGUCUUCAGUCUUUAUUCAACGUUAUGGGCUCUUGAUCUCUUUCCUUGCGGACCAACAUACAAGAAUGCUUUUAAACUUGAAGCAACAAGGGUCUUCAUAUUCUUCACUUGUAACAUCAUCAAAAUUCUUAUCUUUAAGUCACCAAUGCUCCUCAUUGGUAACAACCUUAACCUCAGGGAAUUUUGGAGCUUUGGAAUUGUUUUGGGGAAAAAUGUGGUCUUCUUGGGGAUUCUUAUGAAUAGGCUAUUUGGUUCCUAUUCUUGUUUUGCUUUUGUAAAUAUGUUGUGCAUCUUGUGUCCUAAAAAAAAGAGAGAAAAGAAAAGAGACAAGACAAGAAAAGAUAGAAAAAAAUCACAAAAAUAGAAAAAAUCAGAAAAAUAAAAAAAAUUAUGAAUAAAGGAGUCAAGAAGUGGAUUGAAUUAGAAGUUUUGGGUGUAAUUUGGUUGUGUUUUCACUUGUUCCGCAUUGCUCCUUUAUUUCUUUUGGUUUGUAGCCUCUCAUCCAUACAUUAUCCUCUCUUGUCAUUGGCCCCAUUACAGCCAUAAAAGUACUUUUGAUUUGAACAUGCAUAUGUUUUGAGUGUUGAUAUUAGAGGUUUGCUAAGUUUGUUUGUUGUUUGCUUUAUUGAGUGCAUUGAGAUGACAUUUUUUACCCUAGACACUUGAGAGAUACAGUGACAGUGCAUUUGUGAGGUUCUGUUGCUUUUGAUUCACCUCUUGAGCUGAUUGAUUAUUUUGCCAUGCUUUAAAUUGCUUGGAUAUCUUCCAUGAGUAUUUACUUUCUUUGACUAUCUGUGUGUUGGAUGUUGUCUACUCCUUUUCUCUUUCCAGUUUUCAUUGAGAAUUGUGUAAAUUUGUUUGAUGUCUUGUAUGUCCUUUUGUUUCUAUGUCUGGAUGUUGUGUCAUGCUCUUGAUGUCUUUUGAAUUGUUCUUUAUUCUGCGUCUUAAUUUUGCCAAGGAGUGCAAAAGACUAAGUGUGGUCUAUUUUGAUGAAUCAUUAUUUUGUACUACUCACUUAACUUUUCAAACCAAAUUGUGUUAAUGAAUUAUGUUUAAUUCUCCAUUAUUGUCUCAUUUUCACUAUUUGGGCUUAAUUAAACUAUUAAUUCUUAUUUUAACUAAUUUGAAUUGUUUGAACUUAAUUACUCCAAUUAUUAUUUGCAGGUCAAUUUUAGAAACAUAUUUUUGGACUUCAAAAGCGUGGUCACAUCAACAUUAUAAUUUAAUUUCAUUUUGAAUUCAUUUAUAAUGUAAUUGGGUCAAACUUUAUGACUUUGGGCUCAAUUUUAAGUCAUAUUUAUUUUGUAGAAGCCUAUAUAGGAAGGGCAUUUUCAUAAUUAGGGUUUAUAAAACCCUAAAUCAGAUUUGAAACCCCUCUCCUUCCCUCAUUUUACAUUUUUCCCCCUAAGGUUUUAGCUAUUGGGACGUUUUCCACCACCCCCCUUUGGGGGUUUUAGGUUUGCUUUUGUUUUCCUUUUUCUUGUAAUGAAUCUUAUUUUUAUGUGUAAUUCCAUUUUCGUUUUCCAUUCUUGCUUUAUUCUCCAUUUUUGUUUCUCUCAUUGCUUGUUGUUUCGUUUUAUUGUUUUGGGUUCCAUUUCCAAUUUCGUAUUUCAAUCCAUUUACGUUUUUGUAUUCCAGUUCUACACUUUAAGUUUCGUUUUCCCCCAAUUUGGUUUUCCCUAAUUUUUUUGCAAGUUCUAUUGCGUUUUUGUUUUGUGUAUUUUCGUAGCAGAUUUAAUGUUGAAUUUCUUUUUGUUUUGUAGCUGCAAUUUCAUGUUAAUGUUAGCUUAGGUGUGCUCGGUUGGUCAUUAGCGAAAUUACAUCAUUCUUUGAGAUUUCUGGACUGUAAUUGUGUUUUUGCUGCUCUGGCUUGGCAUUCUAUUAAAUCCGAUUGUGUUCUUGAAAUGGGUAUACGCUUAGUUGCCCAAUUGGUGAUUGAAUCUCCACUUAUUUGACGAAUCUGUAUGCAAUACAUUAGAUGGAAUAGGUAUGUUGCGUUCGCUUAGUUCGGUAUUAUGGAAACAUUGUUAGUCUUCGCUUAGUUGGUUAGCUUGUGUUGUUGGUAAAUCUGUUAUUGGAAGAAUGUAAUUGAGCUAGUGAUCAACCGUUUUAAAUCUGUGUUUGAAUCUAGGGUUUAGUAGCUUAUUUCAGUACACAAAUCUCUUCAUAACCCCCCCCCCAACUAAGUGUUUGACCUAAUUCCUGAACCACAUUUGUCCUUGAGAGACGACCUGAUGGUAAGCCCUUUUAGGUACAUCCCAUCCAAAGAAGUAUCAACUACACCAAGACUAUGAAAGGGAAGUUGAAUAAAAACUUAAUUUUUUCCUUAUAAGUCUUAGCAUAUUCUUCUCAAAACACUAAAUAUCUUUCAUUGUUUUGUAGAUCACUUAAGGUGAGAAUAAGGAAGCAAGUAGGAGACCAAGGAAGGUGGAUUUUAUUGAUUAAAGACAGCAAGCAACAUGAAGUAGGAAUUCCUUGCGGAUGGAAGAAGCGCCCAGCUCAAACCCUGGUUGGCUCGUUCAACAAGUAAAGCAUUUAACACGUGUUAAAUGUUAUACUCAUGUUACAUGCUUUCCAUGUUCAGCCAAAGUUUUUCGCACAUGCUAGUGUGAUUUCAGUAGCUUCUCUUAGACGCCAUUGAGCCUUGUUUCUUCCAUAAAAGAACGCUUCCGUCCAUUGUAAAUGGAACUUGAAUGAGAAUUAGUGUUAUGCUGUUGAAAUUCUUCUAGCUGCCUUAAUCAUUCGAGUUCAUACUUUGUUUGCUUUAGCAAAAGCCUCCUCUAUCUCCUUUCCCUCUAGGAAAGCCAUCUGAGCUAGUUUCUUCACUGCAUCAUCUUUUAAACACUACCAAACAUUUUAUCAAACACCUUCUGUGCGUUUCAUCCACUACAUCAUUCUCCAUUUCCGCUGCCACACCUGACCGAGGAGAUUCUUCCAUCUCAGACGUGGAGGUUGCUUCUAUCACUUCCUAGUAUUAUACUGCACUUAAUUGAGAACUUAAUUUGAUUUGGAUAUGACCUCGAUCAAAAGGCAACCUUCGAAUCUCAGUCCCUUCCAAUGCCCAUCAUGGACGAAGAGACCCAUCUAUUCCACCGCCCUUUAAAAGCAAAGAGAUUCACCUUUCUACCACCUCGCAAGAGGAAAGGUGACUACUUUUCUACCCCCUCAUAAGAGGAAAGGUGACUACCUUUCUACCCCAUCGAUAGAGGAAAGUUACAACCCUGAAUUAACUAAGUAUAGCCAGAAAACCAUGCUUAAAACAUACCCACCAUCACGCCACAUGGUUGGUUCAAUAUUGUGACUCUCUCACUAAGCUAACCAAUGAUCACGUAAAGUCAUUACUGUUGUUCUUGUAACCCAUCUGAUAACGGUCUAAAAAUCAUUAUUUUCAUACUUAAAAUUGAUAUCAAAACACACCCUUUAUGACCUAGAAUGAGCUUAAAAUCAAGUAAAACACUUAGUUGAGUCAUGAAAGAGUCAAAAGUUGGUUUUAGAGAUAUUAUGCCUGUUUUUACUUUGUUUUGCAGGGUUUUAAGGUGAAUUGAAGAUGGAAGUGAAGUAAGGUGGACUUAGACCCAUGAAAGUGAAAGAAAAAGGAUGAAAAGAAGGGUCAAGUGAGUCGCUGAGCGUCCAGAGCGAUUAGAGGGAAACCGCUCAGCGGCAAAACUGACCGCUGAGCGGUCCAACGGAUAAAGGGGAAACCGUUGAGCGGUUUACUAAGGCGUUUGGGCGGUUGUCUAUUUUUAUUAGCUAGAUUCUGUAAUCUUUCUGUUAUCUUUUUGGCUUAUAUAUAGCCUCAGUGCGAAUCAAAACACAAUCAUUUGGCAGAGAGAAACGUCCAAAGUUGUUCCACACACCUUGGAGGAGGUUCCUUGGAUUCUUAGGCUUCAAUCUACCAAGUUUAGGAUUAUUUCUUCCAUUCUUCCAUUAUAUUUCAUCUAGAUUCACCAUUAUUAUGGUGAACUAAACCCUAGGUUGUUGGGGAACAAUGUAAUCUUUUGAAACUCUCUUAUANNAAAAUUCUUAUCUUCUUUAUAUGCUUGC
rnacentral:lncRNA from 1 species